rnacentral:rRNA from 1 species
GACGAACGCUGGCGGCGUGCUUAACACAUGCAAGUCGAGCGGUAAGGCCCUUUCGGGGGUACACGAGCGGCGAACGGGUGAGUAACACGUGGGUGACCUGCCCUCAGCUCUGGGAUAAGCCUGGGAAACCGGGUCUAAUACUGGAUAUGACUCCAUGACGCAUGUUGUGGGGUGGAAAGCCUUGUGCGGCUGAGGAUGGGCCCGCGGCCUAUCAGCUUGUUGGUGGGGUGAUGGCCUACCAAGGCGACGACGGGUAGCCGGCCUGAGAGGGCGACCGGCCACACUGGGACUGAGACACGGCCCAGACUCCUACGGGAGGCAGCAGUGGGGAAUCUUGCGCAAUGGGCGAAAGCCUGACGCAGCGA